rnacentral:rRNA from 1 species
UACAGAGGCCCCAAGCGUUACUGAGAAUCACUGGGUUUAAAGGGUGCGUAGGUGGCGCGUUAAGUCCGUUGUGAAAGCCCUGGGCUCAACCCAGGAACUGCUUCGGAUACUGGCGCGCUUGAGGCUAGUAGGGGUUACUGGAACUGACGGUGGAGCGGUGAAAUGCGUAGAUAUCGUCAGGAACGCCAAUGGUGAAGACAGGUAACUGGGCUAGUUCUGACACUGAGGCACGAAAGCGUGGGGAGCGAACGGG